rnacentral:rRNA from 1 species
GACAGAGGUGCCGAGCGUUAGGCGGAAUCACUGGGCUUAAAGCGUGUGUAGGCGGACUUCUAAGUGCCUUGUGAAAUCCCACGGCUCAACCGUGGAACUGCUGGGCAUACUGGUUGUCUUGGGCCAUCUAGGGGCUACUGGAACAAACGGUGGAGCGGUGAAAUGCGUAGAUAUCGUUUGGAACGCCAAUGGUGAAAACAAGUAGCUGGGGAUGUGCCGACGCUGAGACACGAAAGCCAGGGGAGCGAACGGG